GACGAACGCUGGCGGCGUGCUUAACACAUGCAAGUCGAACGAGGCAGCAAUGCCUAGUGGCGGACGGGUGAGUAACACGUAGGUAACCUGCCUUCUAGUGGGGGAUACCCAUCCGAAAGGAUGGCUAAUACCGCAUAAGCUCUAACUCUGUGAUGGGUUAGAGGAAAGAUUUAUUGCUAGAAGAGGGGCCUGCGAAUGAUUAGCUAGUUGGUGAGGUAACGGCUCACCAAGGCGACGAUCAUUAACUGGUCUGAGAGGACGACCCGCCACACUGGGACUGAGACACGGCCCAGACUCCUACGGGUGGCAG
rnacentral:rRNA from 1 species